UACGAAGGAUGCGAGCGUUAUCCGGAUUUAUUGGGUUUAAAGGGAGCGUAGGCGGCCUUAUAAGUCAGUGGUGAAAUCCUAUCGCUUAACGAUAGACGUGCCAUUGAUACUGUAGGGCUUGAGUACAGAUGCCGUUGGCGGAAUGUGUCAUGUAGCGGUGAAAUGCAUAGAUAUGACACAGAACACCGAUUGCGAAGGCAGCUGACGAAACUGUAACUGACGCUGAGGCUCGAAAGCGUGGGGAUCAAACAGG
rnacentral:rRNA from 1 species